GGAGGAAGAGGAGGAGGAAGAGGAGAAGGAAGAGGAGAAGGAAGAGGAGACGGAAGAAGAGGAGGAAGAGGAGGAAGAGGAGGAUGAGGAGGAAGGCACUAGGCAGCUCUGGGACAAUACCUACUUCAUAAGAGAGGAACGGAAAGAUGUGAAGUCCUGGGGAGCUGGUCUAGCUGCACAUGGGUCAUCAUGGUCCCCCUUUCGGCGACUGUGUAAUGUAAUAGAAACGCGGGGCUUCACGCUGUCAUGGACUUAUAAAGAUGGUGACGCGAAAUGGCAGCCUGGGUCCAUUUUGAUCGACUAUAGAUGUGUUGCGCAUAGGACGCUUGGCGACAUGCCCCGCCACGGUCAGCGCUCGAGAAAGGAGCUCCAG
rnacentral:lncRNA from 1 species